rnacentral:rRNA from 1 species
UACGUAGGGGGCAAGCGUUAAUCGGAAUUACUGGGCGUAAAGGGCGCGUAGGCGGCCUUCUAAGUCGAACGUGAAAUCCCCGGGCUCAACCCGGGAACUGCGUCCGAUACUGGAAGGCUUGAAUCCGGGAGAGGGAUGUGGAAUUCCAGGUGUAGCGGUGAAAUGCGUAGAUAUCUGGAGGAACACCGGUGGCGAAGGCGACAUCCUGGACCGGUAUUGACGCUGAGGCGCGAAAGCCAGGGGAGCAAACGGG